UAUAGAUUGAUUAAAUAUGGAAGUGUUUUAAGAAUAUGGGUCUGACAUGAGUUUUCUGCGUCUGCCUUCUUCCCGUUGAUGCUGACAAAAUUUGUAGUUUGUCUUGGGAUAUGGCUUGUGAUGUUGACUUUGUCUCCACAACAUAAAGUUCUGCAUGCUCUUGCAAAAUCUCCUAUACACACGACCUCUGAAGAUGCUGAUGAUGAUCAUUUAAGCCUAGAUGAUGCAAAAUAAAUUAAUCUCUUUUGCU